UGGGGAAUAUUGCGCAAUGGGCGAAAGCCUGACGCAGCAACGCCGCGUGAGUGAUGAAGGCCUUCGGGUCGUAAAGCUCUGUCGGAGGGAACGAAUGCUCCUGAAGUUAACAGCUUCAGGAAGUGACGGUACCCUCAAAGGAAGCACCGGCUAACUCUGUGCCAGCAGCCGCGGUAAGACAGAGGGUGCAAGCGUUGUUCGGAAUCACUGGGCGUAAAGGGAGUGUAGGCGGUAAGGUGUGUUCGGCGUGAAAGACCUCGGCUUAACCGGGGAAGUGCACUGAAUACUACCUUACUUGAGUGUGAGAGGGGAUGGCGGAAUUGUCAGUGUAGAGGUGAAAUUCGUAGAUACUGGCAGGAACACCGGAGGCGAAGGCGGCCAUCUGGAUCACAACUGACGCUGAUACUCGAAAGCGUGGGUAGCAAACAGGAUUAGAUACCCAUGUAGUCCCUGAGCGGGCUGGCAAGGCGCAU
rnacentral:rRNA from 1 species